rnacentral:tRNA from 1 species
GCAGGCGUGGUGGAAUGGUAGACACGCUAUCUUGAGGGGUAGUGGAAGUGUUUCCGUGUGAGUUCAAAUCUCAUCGCCUGCACCA